GACAGAGGGUGCAAACGUUGUUCGGAAUUACUGGGCGUAAAGCGCGUGUAGGUGGCAAGGCAAGUCGGGUGUGAAAGCCCUGGGCUCAACCCAGGAAGUGCACUCGAUACUGCCUCGCUAGAGUCCCGGAGAGGUUGGUGGAACUCUCGGUGUAGAGGUGAAAUUCGUAGAUAUCGAGAAAAACACCGGUGGCGAAGGCGGCCAACUGGACGGUGACUGACACUGAGACGCGAAAGCGUGGGGAGCAAACAGG
rnacentral:rRNA from 1 species